CAACCCUGAUCCAGCCAUGCCGCGUGAGUGAAGAAGGCCUUCGGGUUGUAAAGCUCUUUCGGACGGAAAGAAAACGGAUGGGUUAAUACCCUGUUCGGAUGACGGUACCGUCAUAAGAAGCACCGGCUAACUACGUGCCAGCAGCCGCGGUAAUACGUAGGGUGCGAGCGUUAAUCGGAAUUACUGGGCGUAAAGCGUGCGUAGGCGGCCUUGUAAGUCAGAUGUGAAAGGCUACGGCUCAACCGUAGUAAGCAUUUGAAACUGCAGGGCUUGAGUGCAGGAGAGGAGAGUGGAAUUCCUAGUGUAGCGGUGAAAUGCGUAGAUAUUAGGAGGAACACCAGUGGCGAAGGCGACUCUCUGGACUGUAACUGACGCUGAGGCACGAAAGCGUGGGGAGCAAACA
rnacentral:rRNA from 2 species